CAAGUACUCCCUCCGUCCGGAAAUACUUGUCAUCAAAAUGAAUAAAAUGGGAUGUAUCUAGAUGUAUAUUAGUUCUAGAUAUAUCCCUUUUCAUUCAUUUUGAUGACAAGUAUUUUCGGACGGAGGGAGUAAUUA
rfam:Triticum aestivum genome assembly, contig: Triticum_aestivum_CS42_TGACv1_scaffold_500366_6BL